rnacentral:rRNA from 1 species
UGCAAGUCGAACGGUAGCACAGAGAGCUUGCUCUCGGGCGACGAGUGGCGGACGGGUGAGUAAUGUCUGGGAAACUGCCCGAUGGAGGGGGAUAACUACUGGAAACGGUAGCUAAUACCGCAUAAUGUCGCAAGACCAAAGAGGGGGACCUUCGGGCCUCUUGCCAUCGGAUGUGCCCAGAUGGGAUUAGCUUGUAGGUGAGGUAACGGCUCACCUAGGCGACGAUCCCUAGCUGGUCUGAGAGGAUGACCAGCCACACUGGAACUGAGACACGGUCCAGACUCCUACGGGAGGCAGCAGUGGGGAAUAUUGCACAAUGGGCGCAAGCCUGAUGCAGCCAUGCCGCGUGUAUGAAGAAGGCCUUCGGGUUGUAAAGUACUUUCAGCGGGGAGGAAGGGAGUGAGGUUAAUAACCUCAUUCAUUGACGUUACCCGCAGAAGAAGCACCGGCUAACUCCGUGCCAGCAGCCGCGGUAAUACGGAGGGUGCAAGCGUUAAUCGGAAUUACUGGGCGUAAAGCGCACGCAGGCGGUCUGUCAAGUCGGAUGUGAAAUCCCCGGGCUCAACCUGGGAACUGCAUUCGAAACUGGCAGGCUGGAGUCUUGUAGAGGGGGGUAGAAUUCCAGGUGUAGCGGUGAAAUGCGUAGAGAUCUGGAGGAAUACCGGUGGCGAAGGCGGC